rnacentral:rRNA from 1 species
GGGGGGGGCAAGCGUUUGUUCGGAAUUACUGGGCGUAAAGGGCGCGCAGGCGGCCCGGCCAGUCCUACGUGAAAUCCCACAGCUCAACUGUGGAACUGCGUGGGAUACUGCCAGGCUUGAGUCCGGGAGAGGAGAGUGGAAUUCCCAGUGUAGCGGUGAAAUGCGUAGAUAUUGGGAGGAACACCGGUGGCGAAGGCGGCUCUCUGGACCGGCACUGACGCUGAGGCGCGAAAGCUAGGGGAGCAAACGGGGAUUAGAUACCCCGGUAGUCCUAGCCCUAAACGAUGAGCACUUUGUGUGGCGGGUAUCGACCCCCUGCCGUGCAGAAGCUAACGCAUUAAGUGCUCCGCCUGGGGAGUACGGUCGCAAGGCUG